GAAAUUCCGAGCAAUCGGGAGAGUAAAGUGGCGCACGGGUGAGUAACGCGUGGGUAAUCUACCCUGGAGUUGGGAAUAACACCUCGAAAGGGGUGCUAAUACCUAAUAUGAUUCUAGAGACUGUGGUCUUUGGGAUCAAAGAUGGCCUCUGCAUGCAAGCUAUCGUUUAAGGAUGGGCUCGCGUACCAUUAGCUAGUUGGUAGGGUAAAGGCCUACCAGGGCUACGAUGGUUAGCUGGUCUGAGAGGAUGACCAGCCACACUGGUACUGAGACACGGGACAGACUCCUACGGGUUUCCGCAGUGGGACUUCUAGAAAUCUCCUGCAAAU
rnacentral:sRNA from 1 species